AUUGAACGCUGGCGGCAUGCCUUACACAUGCAAGUCGAACGGUAACAGGUCUUCGGAUGCUGACGAGUGGCGAACGGGUGAGUAAUACAUCGGAACGUGCCCGAUCGUGGGGGAUAACGAAGCGAAAGCUUUGCUAAUACCGCAUAAGAUAUACGGAUGAAAGCAGGGGACCGCAAGGCCUUGCGAGAACGGACCGGCCGAUGGCAGAUUAGGUAGUCGGUGGGAUAAAAGCUUACCAAGCCGACAAUCUGUAGCUGGUCGGAGAGGACGACCAGCCACACAGGGACUGAGACACGGCCCAGACUCCUACGGGAGGCAGCAGUGGGGAAUUUUGGACAAUGGGCGAAAGCCUGAUCCAGCCAUGCCGCGUGCAGGAUGAAGGCCUUCGGGUUGUAAACUGCUUUUGUACGGAACGAAAAGACUCUUUCUAAUAAAGAGGGUCCAUGACGGUACCGUAAGAAUAAGCACCGGCUAACUACGUGCCAGCAGCCGCGGUAACAC
rnacentral:rRNA from 1 species